GGGGAAUAUUGCACAAUGGGCGAAAGCCUGAUGCAGCGACGCCGCGUGAGGGAUGACGGCCUUCGGGUCUGUAAACCUCUUUCAGUAGGGAACAAGGCCAGCAUUUUUGUUGGUUGAGGGUACUUGCAGAAGAAGCGCCGGCUAACUACGUGCCAGCAGCCGCGGUAAUACGUAGGGCGCAAGCGUUAUCCGGAAUUAUUGGGCGUAAAGAGCUCGUAGGCGGUUUGUCGCGUCUGCCGUGAAAGUCCGGGGCUCAACUCCGGAUCUGCGGUGGGUACGGGCAGACUAGAGUGAUGUAGGGGAGACUGGAAUUCCUGGUGUAGCGGUGAAAUGCGCAGAUAUCAGGAGGAACACCGAUGGCGAAGGCAGGUCUCUGGGCAUUAACUGACGCUGAGGAGCGAAAGCAUGGGGAGCGAACAGGAUUAGAUACCCUGGUAGUCCAUGCCGUAAACGUUGGGCACUAGGUGUGGGGGACAUUCCACGUUUUCCGCGCCGUAGCUAACGCAUUAAGUGCCCCGCCUGGGGAGUACGGCCGCAAGGCUAAAACUCAAAGGAAUUGACGGGGGCCCGCACAAGCGGCGGAGCAUGCGGAUUAAUUCGAUGCAACGCGAAGAACCUUACCAAGGCUUGACAUGAACUGGAAAUACCUGGAAACAGGUGCCCCGCUUGCGGUCGGUUUACAGGUGGUGCAUGGUUGUCGUCAGCUCGUGUCGUGAGAUGUUGGGUUAAGUCCCGCAACGAGCGCACCCUCGUU
rnacentral:rRNA from 1 species